AAACAUGUCUUUUUGAAUUAAAUUUAAAGUCUGACCUGCCCACUGAAUAAUUUUAAAUGGCCGCAGUAUUUUGACUGUGCAAAGGUAGCAUAAUCAUUAGUCUUUUAAUUGGAGGCUGGUAUGAACGGUUGGACGAAGUAUAAGCUGUUUCAUAUAAAUUUAUAAUAGAACUUUAUAUUUUAGUUAAAAAGCUAAAAUUUUAUUAAAAGACGAGAAGACCCUAUAAAUCUUUAUAUUUAAUAUUAACUAAAUUUUUUUGAUUUAUUUUAUUUUUUUAAUAUUAAUUAUUUUGUUGGGGUGAUAUUAAAAUUUAAUGAACUUUUAAUUUUUUAAAAUCAUUAAUUUAUGAAUUAUUGAUCCAUUAAUAUUGAUUAUAAGAUUAAGUUACUUUAGGGAUAACAGCGUAAUUUUUUUUGAGAGUUCAUAUCGACAAAAAAGUUUGCGACCUCGAUGUUGGAUUAAGGUAUAAUUUUGGGUGUAGCCGUUCAAAAAUUAAGUCUGUUCGACUUUUAAAUCCUUACAUGAUC
rnacentral:rRNA from 1 species